rnacentral:rRNA from 1 species
AACGAACGCUGGCGGCAGGCUUAACACAUGUAAGUCGAACGCAUCGCAAGAUGAGUGGCAGACGGGUGAGUAACGCGUGGGAACAUACCCUUUUCUACGGAAUAGCUCUGGGAAACUGGAAUUAAUACCGUAUACGCCCUACGGGGGAAAGAUUUAUCGGGGAAGGAUUGGCCCGCGUUGGAUUAGCUAGUUGGUGGGGUAAAGGCCUACCAAGGCGACGAUCCAUAGCUGGUCUGAGAGGAUGAUCAGCCACACUGGGACUGAGACACGGCCCAGACUCCUACGGGAGGCAGCAGUGGGGAAUAUUGGACAAUGGGGGCAACCCUGAUCCAGCCAUGCCGCGUGAGUGAUGAAGGCCUUAGGGUUGUAAAGCUCUUUCACCCACGACGAUGAUGACGGUAGUGGGAGAAGAAGCCCCGGCUAACUUCGUGCCAGCCGCCGCGGUAAAAC